GGGCGCCAUUCUCUCAUCUAUCUCUCAUCCUUCCUUCCUACGCUCACUUUUUUAAACCGUCUCUUCAAUUUGGAAACCUAAUAAAUUCUCUCAAUCAAUUAGUUGAAAUCAUUCUCCAAUUUGCCAAAUUGAUUUCUCUUCACACGGCUUCUCAAAACAUCACACAUUCAAUUUUACAAACCCUAAAUCUCAUCUACGGCUUCAUCUCUAGUAGCGAUUGUUCCUGGCCCUAGAAAUCCCUAAAUCUCAAGCAUUCAAACUCUCAUCUAGAUAUAGAGUUGUCGAAUCGGUUUUGAUUUUGUCGCUCAAUCGAACAAGGUUCAAUCGAAUAUUAUGAUUAUGAAGACGAAAACAAAGAAGAUUAUGAAGUGGAAGGAGUCAAGAAGUUGAUUUCGUCAGAGAAAAUGUAACAUGGUGUUUAUUGAUGUUUAUUCUAGACUUCAUUUUGAAGAUCUGACGAAGAGCAUUGGAAACUGAAUGCCAACAAUUUGAAGUUUACUCCAUGUUCAGUAUUCACUUUUUAUACUUUUUAAUCAUAUGAACAAUUUGAAGAUCUUGACUGGUAGUGUUCUAAAAGAAGACGAACUAGGGUUCUGCCAUUUCGGUACUAGUAGGAACAAAUCCGAAUUCAUACAAAUCGGGGACUAACUGGUAGUAGAAAAGGUUCUUGCUGGAGCCUUAAGGCGAGAUAUGGCUUUGAAAGGUUCUUACAAGUGUAUGUUCUUGGGUUAAUCCGACCAAAAUUUGCUAAACUCAAUUGGGACAUACACUUUGGUGGUAAGUAUACUGUGAGGAUUUUAGUGAUCGCAGUGGAUGCGGAUGCCCUUGCUUAAAUCUUUAAUUCUUGAUAACUGUGAGACGAUGAGGCCGACAUGCUUAAGCACUAUUUAGCCAACAAAGCUUCUCAUGUUCUUCAUCAAAAGGUAUUUACCCUCCUGAAAAUGAAGUUAAUUGGUUAGCUCAUCAAGGUACUUAGUUUUUAAUCUAGCAGUUUUCUUCUUUAUGAAUACAAAAAACCUUCUCUAAUGUUUAAUGGUUUAGACGCUUAUAUAAUAAAGUCUUGCGGAAUGAAAAAUAUAUUUUGACAAGUAUUCUGUUUGAACCAUCUUAAUAACUAAACAUUACGACUUGCUAAUCCUCAAAUGAUUUCAAAUAUAGUAUUGCUUGAUAAUACUGAUGUGAAAAAGAAUAUGAGCAUCGAAACUGCAUACCAAAACUCAGUCGAUACAGUUUUGAAUUGGAUCAGUAAAGAAGUAGAUACAAAUAAGACACAAGUUGUUUUCCGAAGCUUUUCUCCUGUGCAUUUCAGGUUCGCGUUGAUCUUUUAUAUCUUGAAUGUGAAUGGUCGUGUGCGUGUGUGGUGGGGGGGUAACGGGUCAGGUAAACCUAACAUUCUUUUCAUGAUUCGUCUUUAAUCUAUGUUUAUUUGUGAUCAAUCUUCGAAAAAUAACGGUAAUUGGUCCAAUUUCUAGGUCAACGAACUUGUGUUAAAGAGAUUAGUUUAUUCAGUUCAUUUUUAUAGAUCUGGUUAUGUGUUAAUUAAAGAGAUUAGUAAGUAGACUUGAAUAGGCUGGGAAGGGGCUAUUGGUCAGAAAGACACUUGCAAGUGGAUGAUUAAUAUAACAAAUACGUUUUGGAUAACUAGACUUGAUACAUAGGGCUUGCGCUGCUGUGAAGGGGACUCAAAUGCACUCUUAACUUUGACUGUAUGAACAAUUAUGGUGGUUUGUGUAUGCUUGAAUGUGUGCGCUAGAUUAAUUGGCAUGAGAUUAGCAAGAUACCAUUGUUUCGACGUUCACAAAAAAUACCAUUGUUUCCUUUUAAAAUCGAUAAGCUAAUGCGAAAACAUGAAUUAUGUAUUGUUAAUGCAAUGGUUAGUAAUGUCAAUAUAAAAAAGCCCAUAUAAGUGAAAGCAAUUUUUUUUGUAAGCAAUGGGAAUUGAAUUCAACCUUCUCAUCGAUUAAGGUAAUCGCCAUUAUCCUCUCUCUUGAUAAAUUUGUUUAUGAUUGAUGUUAAUUUAAUGUUGUUCGAUUCAUAUGUGUAAUGUUUUAUAAUUCAGAGUGGAUUUGGACUAUGCUAAUUUGUGAUUUUUUAUAUGGUGUUGGUUUGUGUAGGCUAGGGAUUUGAUUCCAUGUUUUUAGGGCUUCAUCGAAGUAUAUUCAACAGAUGUUAAGAGGAAGUAUAUGAACUUCAAGAAGUUUGAUAUUGUUGAGGACUAUUCAAUUUAGUGCUAUAUAAAAUCAAAAUCAUUAUGGUGACAGGCAAGUAGGGAUAAGCUUGGUAUUAACCGGUACCGGUACCAAAUAUUCCGGUACCGAAAAUCUACAAAAGUGAGUACCGGUACUGAAUAUACCCGAUACGGUUCAAUACCGGUAUUUGAGAGAAAAACCGGUACCGAAAAUGUCAAAAGUCGGUACUAAAUUGGUACCGAAAAUGUACUCAGUUCGGUAAAUUCGGUACCGAUAUCGGGUACCAUUUGCUCAUCCCUACGUUCAAGUUUAUUUUCAACUUUAUUUAUUUUAUUUGUUUAUUUUAUGAAAUUUUCAAUUUCCAAUGAUUCUUUUUUAACAAUUUGCAGCCACCAAUAAAUGGGCUAAAAAGUUUAUGAAGAAUGGAGGAUUCCUGAGAGGAAUUUGCCUGAUAUGAUAUAUGUUAGGGUUUAAGAAGGGAGAAAGGAUCUUUUAAGAGUGGUGAUAAUAGGAGAAGAAGUGACUCCACAUCACGAUGGGUUUUUUUCUUUGAUAUAUAUGUAUAGUGAUGGCCGUAGCAAGAAAUUCUAGAUGGCUCUGAGAAAGGGUAACUGUUUUUUGUCUGAAGACACCUUAAUUCUUAAUAAAAGUAAAAAAAUAUAAUGUUUUAUACUUUAAUGCAUUUUAAUUAUAUUUUCACUUUGUCAAUAAGUAAUUUAUGUAAUGUGUUACUUUGUAUUUAUAUUAUUUAUACACUUUGUGAUAAUGUAGAUUAAAUUUUCUGAC